rnacentral:misc_RNA from 1 species
CAGAGGAGCCCGCGCGUCCGCGCACGGGCUCCACGAGAUAGAACCCCUGUCUUUGUUUACCACCGUUUCCUCGGCGGGUCCGCCCGCCAGCGAGGACAACCCAAAACCUUUUGUAGUUAGCAGUAACCGUCUGAAAACAAAUCGUUUA